UGUUGACUGACAAGAAUAUAAUUGCUGUUAAUCCGGCCCUGCUUCUUGUACAAAUGCAUAGUGGGGAGACAUGAACAUUUUUCGAAAUUGCGGCCCUAUCCUCUUGGGAUUCUACGUUGGACAAAUUCUGAAAACGACCCAGAAAUAUAAUUGGAGGUUCAAACCCGUGCGAGGUGAGGUUUGAUAUAUGAAACAGACCAGUCAUGGGGACACGAGAUAUGCAAAGUUUCAGCGUAGUCGUCGCCACAUUGCUGCCAACACUGCAUAUAUAAGGAAUCACGAACCAUUCAGGAAUAUUGAGACUUAGACCAGUAUCUUUUUAAGUAGGCAUGUGGGGUAAAGAAGACGCAGAAGCUUCAGUCGGGUACCAUCGGUAACGUAGGCGAUUAAUAUAUUUCCACCACUACAUAUGUUGGAUUGGAAUUUCCCAUUUGAUGCUUUGACUGACUAAAUGAGGAAACUUGGAGGUAAGCUCUUACGGAAUUCUAUCGAAAUAUGUUUAGUAACAUAUUGGUGCAUUACUCUGUCUUCCAGUCAGUUUCACAUAAACUUUGCACGUAUUAUAGAAAUGCCACCUACU